rnacentral:rRNA from 1 species
GAAUUUUGGACAAUGGGCGAAAGCCUGAUCCAGCAAUGCCGCAUGCAGGAUGAAGGCCUUCGGGGUGUCAACUGCUUUUGUACGGAACGAAAAGCCUUGGGUUCAUACCCUGGAGUCAUGACGGUACCGUACGAAUAAGCACCGGCUAACUACGUGCCCGCCGCCGCGGUAAUACGUAGGGUGCAAGCGUGAAUCGGAAUUACUGGGCGUAAAGCGUGCGCAGGCGGUUUUGUAAGACAGAGGGUAAAUCCCCGGGCUCAACCUGGGAACUGCCUUUGUGACUGCAAGGCUAGAGUACGGCAGAGGGGGGUGGAAUUCCGCGUGUAGCAGUGAAAUGCGUAGAUAUGCGGAGGAACACCGAUGGCGAAGGCAACCCCCUGGGCCUGUACUGACGCUCAUGCACGAAAGCGUGGGGAGCAAACAGG